rnacentral:rRNA from 1 species
AGAGUUUGAUCCUGGCUCAGGAUGAACGCUAGCGGGAGGCCUAACACAUGCAAGUCGAACGGGAUCCCCGAGCAAUCGGGGUGAGAGUGGCGCACGGGUGAGUAACGCGUAUGCAACCUACCUGUAACAGAGGGAUAGCCCAUAGAAAUGUGGAUUAACACCUCAUAGUUCUUAUUAGUCGCAUGACUGACAAGAUAAAACUCCGGCGGUAAGAGAUGGGCAUGCGUGCCAUUAGCUAGUUGGUGAGGUAACGGCUCACCAAGGCAACGAUGGCUAGGGGUUCUGAGAGGAUUAUCCCCCACACUGGUACUGAGACACGGACCAGACUCCUACGGGAGGCAGCAGUAAGGAAUAUUGGUCAAUGGGCGCAAGCCUGAACCAGCCAUUCCGCGUGCAGGAUGACGGCCCUAUGGGUUGUAAACUGCUUUUAUACACCAAGAAAACUUUUCACGUGUGGGAGCUUGACGGUAGUGUAUGAAUAAGCAUCGGCUAACU